UCUGUAUUUGUCUCUGAAAUAAAAAUGGCAUGUUAUUAUUUGAAAAAAAAAUUCAAGGCCAGAUUUGCCAUCGCAUUGGAUCAUUGCAACCUAUAGAAGAUGCACAGCAUAAAUUCUUUCAAAUAUACUUCAUGGGCAAUAUGGAAGAACAACUUGACCGGCGUCAAGGGAUCAACACAGCUACGAAAAGAGCAAUUCUCCAAGAUCUACAGCAAAUGCUUCAAGAACAUCAUGCAUUGGUCAGGCUGUUCAAGACUGCUUUAGAGCGCAUGCCAAGUGAUGACUAUAAAGUUGUGAUCAGAGCAGAUAAAAGACCAGCUGGAACACAUGAACGCACAUUUAAUGCUCCAACAAUCGAUGAAGUGGCAAUCCUGAUUGUUGGUGAAAACUUGGAAACACGUGAUAUUGUACUUACAUGACGCAAUACUGGGCAACUACAAAGAAUAUAUGAAACACACCGCUCAUAUGACGCGUUACAAUACCCGCCGAUGUUUUGGCAAGGAGACGAUGGAUAUAACUUUAAUAUCAAAAUGAUUAAUCCAUUGAAUGGUGAGGAAACUACCAAGAAGGUUAGUUCGUGAAAAUUCUGUCAAUUAUUUGUUGCGAUUUCGUCGACUGCUUCAACAAUAUUGCGUUGACAUGUACGUUAAAAUCGAAACGGAGCGUCUGACUUUCAUUCGGUUGAAUCAAGCUAAAUUGCGUUCGGAAGAGUAUAUCCAUUUACGCGAUGCAAUUAGCACAGAAGGAGAUUCAGAAAAUGUUGGACGAUUGACUAUUUUACCGGCGACAUACAUAGGUAGCCCGCGUCAUUUGCAUGAAUAUGCGCAAGAUGCAAUGACAUAUGUUCGUCAUUAUGGUCGGCCAGAUCUAUUCAUUACAUUUACAUGUAAUCCGAAAUGGAUAGAAAUUAUUCAAUUGCUGCUUCCCGGACAAACAUCAAGUGAUCGACACGACAUCACCGCACGUGUUUACAGGCAAAAAAUUCGGUCACUAAUGAAUUACAUUGUUAAGCAACGCGUCUUUGGGAAUACUCGAUGCUGGAUGUAUUCAAUCGAAUGGCAAAAACGAGGCCUACCGCAUGCUCAUAUUCUGAUUUGGUUAGUCGAAAGAAUUCGGCCAGAUCAAAUAGAUGACAUCAUAUGUGCGGAGAUUCCUGCUCCUGAAACCGAUCCAGACCUACAUGAUGUUGUAGUCACGAAUAUGAUUCAUGGACCGUGGAUCGUGGACUAUCAACCGACAAUCACCGUGCAUGGUCGACGGCAAGUGUUCCAAACGGUAUCCACGAAAAUUGACGGCAGAGACCAUUACAGGCAACGAUGGUUAUCCAUUGUAUCGGCGUCGAUCACCCGAUGAUAAUGGUAGAACUAUCACAACUAAAGUGAAAGGAAACGAUUUCGUAGUUGACCACAGUUGGAUUGUUCCAUAUUUGCCACUUCUUUCCAAAACAUUCAAAGCACAUUGUAAUGUUGAGUAUUGCAAUUCGGUCAAGUCAAUUAAAUACAUUUGCAAAUAUGUCACGAAAGGGAGCGACAAGGCGAUGAACAUGUAAAAUGUCUUCUUCGUCCUAGAAGAUCUAAUCUUUCCCAGCGAAGCCGUAAUGCAACACUUAUAACUCGAGAACGGCUGGACCGAU